UGUGGCCAGAGGACGUUGAAA
rnacentral:miRNA from 1 species